rnacentral:rRNA from 1 species
AACGAACGCUGGCGGCAGGCCUAACACAUGCAAGUCGAGCGGGACCUUCGGGUCUAGCGGCGGACGGGUUAGUAACGCGUGGGAACGUGCCCAAAGGUACGGAAUAGCCUCGGGAAACUGAGAGUAAUACCGUAUGUGCCCCUCGGGGGAAAGAUUUAUCGCCUUUGGAUCGGCCCGCGUUGGAUUAGGUAGUUGGUGGGGUAAUGGCCUACCAAGCCGACGAUCCAUAGCUGGUUUGAGAGGAUGAUCAGCAACACUGGGACUGAGACACGGCCCAAACUCCUACGGGAGGCAGCAGUGGGGAAUCUUAGACAAUGGGGGAAACCCUGAUCUAGCCAUGCCGCGUGAGCGAUGAAGGCCUUAGGGUUGUAAAGCUCUUUCAGAUGGGAAGAUAAUGACGGUACCAUCAGAAGAAGCCCCGGCUAACUCCGUG